rnacentral:rRNA from 1 species
CUACGCACUCCUACGGGAGGCAGUCAGUGGGGAAUAUUGCACAAUGGGCGCAAGCCUGAUGCAGCCAUGCCGCGUGUAUGAAGAAGGCCUUCGGGUUGUAAAGUACUUUCAGUCAGUGAGGAAGGUGGGUAUGUUAAUAGCAUAUUCAUUUGACGUUAGCUGCAGAAGAAGCACCGGCUAACUCCGUGCCAGCAGCCGCGGUAAUACGGAGGGUGCGAGCGUUAAUCGGAAUUACUGGGCGUAAAGCGCAUGCAGGUGGUUUGUUAAGUCAGAUGUGAAAGCCCGGGGCUCAACCUCGGAAUUGCAUUUGAAACUGGCAAACUAGAGUACUGUAGAGGGGGGUAGAAUUUCAGGUGUAGCGGUGAAAUGCGUAGAGAUCUGAAGGAAUACCGGUGGCGAAGGCGGCCCCCUGGACAGAUACUGACACUCAGAUGCGAAAGCGUGGGGAGCAAACAGGAUUAGAUACCCUGGUAG